UACGGGGGGGGCAAGCGUUGUUCGGAAUUACUGGGCGUAAAGGGCUCGUAGGUGGCCAACUAAGUCAGACGUGAAAUCCCUCGGCUUAACCGGGGAACUGCGUCUGAUACUGGAUGGCUUGAGUAUGGGAGAGGGAUGCGGAAUUCCAGGUGUAGCGGUGAAAUGCGUAGAUAUCUGGAGGAACACCGGUGGCGAAGGCGGCAUCCUGGACCAUUACUGACGCUGAGGAGCGAAAGCCAGGGGAGCAUACGGG
rnacentral:rRNA from 1 species